rnacentral:rRNA from 1 species
AGAGUUUGAUCCUGGCUCAGAUUGAACGCUGGCGGCAGGCCUAACACAUGCAAGUCGAGCGGUAGAGAGGUGCUUGCACCUCUUGAGAGCGGCGGACGGGUGAGUAAUGCCUAGGAAUCUGCCUGGUAGUGGGGGAUAACGCUCGGAAACGGACGCUAAUACCGCAUACGUCCUACGGGAGAAAGCAGGGGACCUUCGGGCCUUGCGCUAUCAGAUGAGCCUAGGUCGGAUUAGCUAGUUGGUGGGGUAAUGGCUCACCAAGGCGACGAUCCGUAACUGGUCUGAGAGGAUGAUCAGUCACACUGGAACUGAGACACGGUCCAGACUCCUACGGGAGGCAGCAGUGGGGAAUAUUGGACAAUGGGCGAAAGCCUGAUCCAGCCAUGCCGCGUGUGUGAAGAAGGUCUUCGGAUUGUAAAGCACUUUAAGUUGGGAGGAAGGGCAUUAACCUAAUACGUUAGUGUUUGGACGUUACCGACAGAAUAAGCACCG